GAUUUUUAGCAUUUGUUGGGAUAUAUUCUUUGGACAUGGGAGUUAAUUUAUUUUUUAGAAAAUUAAUAGUUACAAAACAUUUUUUUAAAACAGAAUCAGUAUAAAAUAGCAGUUGACUGUUUUAUAACUAAGAGAAUUAGACUUGAAGUCUUGGCUAAACGAGGCUGAACCAACCAAAGGCCUUGGCCUGCUGGCUGGGAAACCACCCUCGGAAGCCGGCCCUGCUGAUAUCUGUCAUGCUCAGACGAUGAGAUGACCAGAUCUCUUUUAAAAAACCUUUCUCUCUCCUCAUUUUUUGGAGGCUUGAAGUGAAUUCAGCAUGCCCAUCAAACACCUCCCAGCUCCUGUCAUUUCCCACUUCUUUGACAUUUAGUUCUGACUGCAUUCACUUCAACUUUGUUUGUUCUUUUCUAAGUUGCUUUAAUAACGUUAAGUCAUCCAGGUUUUUCUCUCUCUUCUCGGAGACUUUACUGCUGAGGAGGUCUGGGCUAAACCGUUCUUUACAACUCUGUCCCUACUGACACGAGCUGCCAUCAGAGGCUCACACGGCUGCUUACAGGUUUGGCUGGCAUCAGUUUUCCCUGCAGAGGAAGCUGUUGGAACUGUAGCAUUUAAGUCACGUGCUAUCCUGUCAUCAGUGGUCCUCAUCGCCUUGAGUAGUUCCCAGAACUCGGUGAGUGGAGGCCAGAGAUGGCGGCUUUGGUUGGUCUCUUCCACCAUGUGGGUCAUGGGGACCAAACUCAGGUUAGCAGCAGGUGACUUCAUCUGUGGAGCCUUCUCACCAGCUCUUUUACACACAUACAUUAUGCCAAGAUAAUGCCCAUUAAGCGAGUGCACACACACUGAUUCUGGAUGGUAUUUGGUUGGUAGGAUUUUUCUUUUUCUAUUUUCUUUUGUACUAUUUGUCAUAAGGACAAAACAUUUUUAAUAAGGACAAAACAUUUUUCUCAGUCUUAAAAAAAAAUGAAGGUAGCCAGGAAUGGUAGUGCAUACCUUUAGUCUUGGUACCCAGGAGGCAGAGGCAGGUAGAUCUCUGAAUUUGGGGCCAGACCGGGCUACCCUGUGAGACCCUGGCUCAAGCAAACAAACAAACUUCUUCUCCUUCCUACGUUUCACCUUAAAAUUUCUUAUUGAACUUUUAAACAUUAAUUUCCGAAAUCCUCUUUAGAGUUGUCUUGUUGUCCUGAAUUGCAGAGUGACGGGUGGUAGGAUGCUCAGCUGUAAUGGAUGAUGCUCUGGGUAUCUAUAAUAAAGGCCUGAAGGAGUAGGGGAGAGAACUUGGCUUCUCGUCACCCUCUCACAGAACAGGUUAGUAGGGCAAUCCAUAUUAUAUGGACAGGCAUAGGAAUAUAUAUCACAAAGCAAGAGAGCUAGAACAUUGAAGCUUACUAGCACAAUAGGCAUGGGGACUCCCUGUGUAGGGGGGGGAGGUCGCCUCAGGCGGAUGGAGACCGCCUUCUAGUGGAGGUAAGCCUGGGAUACAGUGGCAGCUGUUGGGAGCAGCUUUCUUACUAAUAUCUCUUUUCUGCAUAGGUACCUGUUCAUUUACAGAAGGACAGCUCCUCAGAAUAAUGCACUCAGAAGGUGUGCAGAGGUGUUGUGGUCCCCCGCAGCUGUAUUUUAGGUGUCACAUCCAGCGCCCAACAGCAGUAUCACUCUCAGUAGUUAAUGAAUGUGUAAAAGAUGAAGUCAUGCUAAUGUGACGAGCUUUCCCACGGGCAUAGGCGGGAGCAUACACUCAACAGACCUCCUGUUAACCAGAGAGCCUGUCUUGGAGAUUAUAAGCUGGCAGGACGGGGCCUAACCUUUCUUAUUUUAUGGCUUGUAGAUCAAAUAAUUAUUUUAAUUAUUUUUGCAAUUAACUGAGGAACAGCGUCUUUAUUAGGGUAUGGGUGUCUUUAUUAGAGCUAGGUGGGAAGGUUGCGAGGAAUGAUGGCGUUUAGAACGCCGACUGGGCCAGUCAGUCCUCCCUGGAGAGCAACCAACAUCUCUGUGUCUGCUUCCAUCGGAGAUUUGUCUUCGUUUGGUACAUGGUCUUGUCUAGUUCUGUCUGGUUGGGAAUUCACAGUCCUCCUGCCUCAGUCUCACAGAUGUUGUCUUUAGUGCUUUGGGAAUGGAGAAUAUGUUUUUUUUUUUUUUUUUUUUUUUUAACUUUUGAAAACGGGUAUGCCUCUGUUUUGAACUAUUUUGUGAAACUGAGGCUGGCCCUGAAACUCCUGAUCCUCCUCCUCCUACCUCUUGCAUGCUGGGAUUACAGAUAUGUGCCGCCAUGUUUGCCUGUGCUUUAGAUUUUAACCUUGAGAUUUUGGUCUUAUGUAUGAGUU
rnacentral:lncRNA from 1 species